CCGUUAACUGUGGACGCAUACAGACAACAACCGUGACGUAUCGCUCUGUCGCUCGGUGGUCCACGUCGGUUAAGCGCUGAAAAAAAACAAAUUACAGAUCGCCGGUACGUCCGGCCGCAAUGGUGUGUGAAAAGACCGAGGGAUAUCGGAUAACAUUAACUCGCAUAGAUCGAUAACUGCAAUAGCUCGGUCGGACAUUGGUUUUCCGCU